rnacentral:rRNA from 1 species
GCGGAAGGAAAAAGAAAACCAAACAGGGGAUUGCCCUAGUAACGGCGAGUGAAGCGGCAACAGCUCAAAUUUGAAAUCUGGCUCUCGGGCCCGAGUUGUAAUUUGUAGAGGAUGACUUUGAUGCGGUGCCUUCCGAGUUCCCUGGAACGGGACGCCAUAGAGGGUGAGAGCCCCGUCUGGUUGGAUGCCAAAUCUCUGUAAGUCUCCUUCGACGAGUCGAGUAGUUUGGGAAUGCUGCUCUAAAUGGGAGGUAUAUGUCUUCUAAAGCUAAAUACCGGCCAGAGACCGAUAGCGCACAAGUAGAGUGAUCGAAAGAUGAAAAGCACUUUGAAAAGAGAGUUAAAAAGUACGUGAAAUUGUUGAAAGGGAAGCGUUUAUGACCAGACUUGGGCUUGGUUAAUCAUCUGGGGUUCUCCCCAGUGCACUUUUCCAGUUCAGGCCAGCAUCAGUUUUCGCCGGGGGAUAAAGACUUCGGGAAUGUGGCUCCUCUCGGGGAGUGUUAUAGCCCGUUGUGUAAUACCCUGGCGGGGACUGAGGUUCGCGCUUCUGCAAGGAUGCUGGCGUAAUGGUCAUCAACGACCCGUCUUGAAACACGGACCAAGGAGUCGUCUUCGUAUGCGAGUGUUCGGGUGUCAAACCCCUACGCGUAAUGAAAGUGAACGCAGGUGAGAGCUUCGGCGCAUCAUCGACCGAUCCUGAUGUUCUCGGAUGGAUUUGAGUAAGAGCAUACGGGGCCGGACCCGAAAGAAGGUGAACUAUGCCUGUGUAGGGUGAAGCCAGAGGAAACUCUGGUGGAGGCUCGCAGCGGUUCUGACGUGCAAAUCGAUCGUCAAACAUGGGCAUGGGGGCGAAAGACUAAUCGAACCUUCUAGUAGCUGGAUUUCCGCGAG